rnacentral:rRNA from 1 species
GUUUGAUCCUGGCUCAGAUUGAACGCUGGCGGCAUGCCUUACACAUGCAAGUCGAACGGCAGCACGGGAGCAAUCCUGGUGGCGAGUGGCGAACGGGUGAGUAAUAUAUCGGAACGUGCCCAGUCGUGGGGGAUAACGCAGCGAAAGCUGUGCUAAUACCGCAUACGAUCUACGGAUGAAAGCGGGGGAUCGCAAGACCUCGCGCGAUUGGAGCGGCCGAUAUCAGAUUAGCUAGUUGGUGGGGUAAAAGCCCACCAAGGCGACGAUCUGUAGCUGGUCUGAGAGGACGACCAGCCACACUGGAACUGAGACACGGUCCAGACUCCUACGGGAGGCAGCAGUGGGGAAUUUUGGACAAUGGGCGCAAGCCUGAUCCAGCAAUGCCGCGUGCAGGAUGAAGGCCUUCGGGUUGUAAACUGCUUUUGUACGGAGCGAAACGGCUUCCUCUAAUACGGGGAGCUAAUGACGGUACCGUAAGAAUAAGCACCGGCUAACUACGUGCCAGCAGCCGCGGUAAUACGUAGGGUGCGAGCGUUAAUCGGAAUUACUGGGCGUAAAGCGUGCGCAGGCGGUUAUAUAAGACAGAUGUGAAAUCCCCGGGCUCAACCUGGGACCUGCAUUUGUGACUGUAUAGCUAGAGUACGGUAGAGGGGGAUGGAAUUCCGCGUGUAGCAGUGAAAUGCGUAGAUAUGCGGAGGAACACCGAUGGCGAAGGCAAUCCCCUGGACCUGUACUGACGCUCAUGCACGAAAGCGUGGGGAGCAAACAGGAUUAGAUACCCUGGUAGUCCACGCCCUAAACGAUGUCAACUGGUUGUUGGGUCUUCACUGACUCAGUAACGAAGCUAACGCGUGAAGUUGACCGCCUGGGGAGUACGGCCGCAAGGUUGAACUCAAGGAAUUGACGGGGACCCGCACAA